AGAGGGUAAGGCCCUGACCUCCUGCUCGCUUGAGAAGUUGGCGUCUGGCACUUAGGACCUUGCCUGUGAUGCAGGUUGCACAGCUCCUCUGAAUUUCUCGGCUCUCCUGGACCCUGCGCAGAGGACCGCAGAAUAUUUAAGGGCGAUAAUAACUUCUCAAUUUCUCUGCCGAAAAAAUCUGAAAAGUAAAGGAAGAUGCUCAACAAAAACGGCAACCUAAGAAUUAGACUGGCUGAAUUUUUAGAGGCUCACCGAAAAGUGUAACAUAUGAAAGGGCACAUUGUAUGUGUGUUUGAAAAAUCAAGGCCAGCAAGAUCAUGAUUAAUGUGACUCAAUUCCAUUGACUUACUGAAAAACUAAGCAAAAGGGAAGAUGAGUAUUUCUGCAGUAAUUGAUUGCUUGGAAUACCUUCUGGACCAGAUGGUGUUGGACAUGAGUAGAAAUCUUCAGAAGCAACCAGAUAGAACAGACUUAGAGAACUUGUGUUUGAUGCCUUAGCAAAUAUUAAGGUAUUAGGAAACCUCUCUAAGAUCAUUUAUCUGAAGUUGUAAUGGAAUUUCAGAACACUUAAGUAGAAUCAUACUAGAACUUGUCUUUUGGGGAAACAAGGAAAUUUUACUUGUCCUCAACAUUAAUCAGACAAUUCAAGUGAGAUAUGAAUCUGGAUUAAUCUUUUAUACCAUCAGAUAUGCAGUGUUCAAGUUUUUGUCUCAAAUGAUUGAGUUUGGUUUUUUUUUCUAAUAAUUAUUGAAAUAUGGCCCACAUAUUGUGAUUGGUAAAUUUGCUCCUUGAUUCUCUUAAUCUAUAGAUCUUUUCUUUGUCUCAUUUAUUAUAUUGUGGUUAAUAUAAUAAACCAUUGGUUGUCCAGGAGUUUACCACAGUAUAGGUUUUGCUGAUAGCAAGCCCCUUUGUCACAUGUUCCUGUGUCCUGUAUUUCUUGCAAAUUGGUCAUUAAA